rnacentral:rRNA from 1 species
AGUCCCCUGGAACGGGGCGCCACAGAGGGUGAGAGCCCCGUAUAGUUGGACGCCUAGCCUGUGUAGAGCUCCUUCGACGAGUCGAGUAGUUUGGGAAUGCUGCUCAAAAUGGGAGGUAAAUUUCUUCUAAAGCUAAAUACCAGCCAGAGACCGAUAGCGCACAAGUAGAGUGAUCGAAAGAUGAAAAGCACUUUGAAAAGAGGGUUAAACAGCACGUGAAAUUGUUGAAAGGGAAGCGCUUGUGACCAGACUCGCGCCGGGCUGAUCAUCCGGUGUUCUCACCGGUGCACUCUGCCCGGCUCGGGCCAGCAUCGGUUCCUGCGGGGGGAUAAAGGCUCCGGGAACGUAGCUCCUCCGGGAGUGUUAUAGCCCGGGGCGCAAUGCCCCCGCGGGGACCGAGGACCGCGCUCUGCAAGGAUGCUGGCGUAAUGGUCACCAGCGACCCGUCUU